rnacentral:tRNA from 1 species
CAUUAGAUGGCUGAAAGCAAGUCCUGGUCUCUUAAACCAUUUAAUAGUAAAUUUGUGCUUACUUCUAAUGG